AUAACACAUAAUUCUCCUAUACGUCUAUAUUUUUCUCCUUCUUCUUAGCAAUAAUAGUAUUGUUGUUGUUAUGGCUCGCAAUUACGCUUUCUAUUUCACUAUUGCUCUUUUGGUGAUGUCUGUUUAUUUGGAUGAGUCUACGAAAGUGAAAAUAGAUGCUGCGAGAGACGUAUCUCGGACUAAAACAGAUUUGAAAUCAAAAGUGAAUGGUUAUAACUUGAUGGGUGGUUGUGGUGGAUCCUGUCGACAGAGUAGUGAUUGUUAUGCUCGGUCAUGUCCCCGUUGUCUCUACGAUGUUCUUGCACAUACCUACAGCUGCCACUAGUAAAGGAUCCAUUAUUCAUGGCCAACACAAUAUGAAUUAUUUUCUAUAAAUAUGUUUGUGUGGUUUAUUUCCUUUAAUUUGCUUGUGUGUUUUCCUUUUCUCAUUUAAGCUUUCUUUUUUUUUAAUGGAAAAAAUAGAACGACUAAGUUCUACUUCUACCUUAUAAUAAUAAUAGAGGAAGGAUAAUGUCGGAUGUAAUAUCUAUCAAGAUGAGUUGUGUUGGCCUACAAUAUUUGUA